UACAGAGGUCUCAAGCGUUGUUCGGAUUCAUUGGGCGUAAAGGGUGCGUAGGUGGCGUGGUAAGUCGGAUGUGAAAUCCCGGGGCUCAACCCCGGAACUGCAUUCGAUACUGCCUUGCUGAGAGUACUGGAGAGGAGAUGGAAUUUACGGUGUAGCAGUGAAAUGCGUAGAUAUCGUAAGGAAGACCAGUGGCGAAGGCGGAUCUCUGGACAGUUACUGACACUGAGCACGAAGGCCAGGGGAGCAAACGGG
rnacentral:rRNA from 1 species